CGAGUCCGAGUCUCCACGGAGACGAAGUGGCGGUCAUCCAGCUUCCUAGAAAAGCUCUAACCACGUUAAUCUUUAGUUGCCUGUACCCGAAACCGACACAGGUAGGGGGGUAGAGAAUACCAAGGGGCGCGAGAUAACUCUCUCUAAGGAACUCGGCAAAAUGACCCCGUAACUUCGGGAGAAGGGGUACCACUGAGAAGUGGUCGCAGUGAAGAGGCCCAGGCGACUGUUUACCAAAAACACAGGUCUCCGCCAAGUCGCAAGACGAAGUAUGGGGGCUGACGCCUGCCCAGUGCCGGAAGGUUAAGGAAGUGGGUUAGGGAUUCGUCCGAAGCUGACGACUGAAGCCCCGGUGAACGGCGGCCGUAACUAUAACGGUCCUAAGGUAGCGAAAUUCCUUGUCGGGUAAGUUCCGACCCGCACGAAAGGCGUAACGAUCUGGGCGCUGUCUCGGAGAGAGGCUCGGCGAAAUAGGAAUGUCUGUGAAGAUACGGACUACCUGCACCUGGACAGAAAGACCCUAUGAAGCUUUACUGUAGCUUGGAAUUGGGUUCGGGCUUGGUUUGCGCAGGAUAGGUGGGAGGCGAAGAAGAUUUGCUUGUGGGUGAAUCUGAGCCAACGGUGAGAUACCACUCUAACCAGGCUAGAAUUCUAACUUCAACCCGUCAACCGGGGGAAGGACAGUUUCAGGUGGGCAGUUUGACUGGGGCGGUCGCCUCCUAAAAGAUAACGGAGGCGCACAAAGGUUCCCUCAGGCUGGUUGGAAAUCAGCCAACGAGUGCAAAGGCAGAAGGGAACUUGACUGCGAGACCUACAAGUCAAGCAGGGUGGAAACACGGUCUUAGUGAUCCGACGGCACCGAGUGGAAGGGCCGUCGCUCAACGGAUAAAAGUUACUCUAAGGAUAACAGGCUGAUCUCCCCCAAGAGUUCACAUCGACGGGGAGGUUUGGCACCUCGAUGUCGGCUCAUCGCAACCUGGGGCGGAAGUACGUCCCAAGGGUUGGGCUGUUCGCCCAUUAAAGCGGUACGUGAGCUGGGUUCAGAACGUCGUGAGACAGUUCGGUCCAUAUCCGGUGUAGGCGCAAGAACAUUGAGAGGAGUCUUCCUUAGUACGAGAGGACCGGGAAGAACGCACCGCUGGUGUACCUGUUAUCGUGCCAACGGUAAACGCAGGGUAGCCAAGUGCGGAGUGGAUAACCGCUGAAAGCAUCUAAGUGGGAAGCCCACCUCAAGAUGAGUGUUCUCAUGGAGUAAUCCAGUAAGGUCACGGGAAGACGACCCGUUGAUAGGCGGUAGGUGGAAGUUCAGCAAUGGAUGAAGCCGAGCCGUACUAACAGACCGAGGGCUUGAC
rnacentral:rRNA from 1 species